GGGAAGGCGGAGGAUUGAAAGCAGCGGAGACACAGGUGGCUUUCCACAAUACUGCGCUUCUGGUCACCAAGAAAGAUACCUGGAAGCAUGCUGGGUGAUGAACACACCCCAGGGCCUGGGACUGGGGUGCAGUCCUGGAGGUGGAGGAGGCGGAUGGACCAGUUCACGGAGAAAGUCAACCACUGUGGACUGUGAGAAGAGUUAAGAAAACAAAGAACUGGAACAGAGUGGAGAAGAUGACAUUGAAAGAGAGAACUAAGAGGUGACCAGCUCCGAAAGGGUGAGGCCAAGGCUCACACUUGUGCACAAACCAGGACACAGGAAACAUCUGGAAGCUCCUCUGGGGCUUCUAGUGAACCUCAGUCUCCUGCAGAUGCUUCCGGAGUUGUUCAUUUGUUGGAUAUCUAAGCUGUAUACAGAUACGUCUGUAUACAUCCCAAAGAUGGAGUUUGAACCCAAAGCACACUGUUCUUAGUUAAAUCCCUGCUUUAAGGAAACGAAGCUUCUGAAAUCAGAAUUUGCCACACACAGUAAUUGGAAAGCGGAUGAUUUUGGGGACACCAACCACUCGUCACUUUAUAAAAGAACUUACUACUGAUUAUUUCAAAUGCCAGUCUUCCAGCGUGCUCUUCAAACACUCUGAAAAAACUGAAAGAUUUUCUUUGCCCCUUUUGGUUUUUGUUUUUGUUUUUUUUUUUUUUUUUUUUUUUUUUUUUUUGAGCAAUUCUGUAGUGCAUAGAAAGACCUAAUUUGAGGAAGCCUUGGUGACUUGUCACACAUACAGCUCUUUAGCUUCGUGCCAGCCUGAUGCAUCAUCCAUCAUGCGGCCGCCCUCACACUGCCCCUGCCCCUGGGCAGCAGCAGGGGGCUGUAUGGAGCAUCUGAUGAGCUGCAGCCACAGGUACAGGUACACCUGGCCUGCUGGAUGUGGCCCCAGGAGCCAGGAAUGAUAACAGCCCCUCCUCCAUGCCAGGUACAGCUCUGUAUCUUACUCCUUUAUGCUUCACUAUGAACCCAUUACCGGAGCAUUGGUUUAUUCCCAUUUUGGGGGAGAGAAAAUCGAGGCUCAAAAUGGUUAACCCCAAGGUUUCAGGUCACUGUACGAGUCCUCAUCUGAAAGAGAGAAAGCAGAAACCUGCCUAUCCACCCUGCAGUGGAAGAUACCCACCCUCCAGGAAGCUCUCCUAUGCCAACACCCCCACCCCGGACCACCUAGAAACCAUAUGACUCCCGCAAGGACCCUGCUGGGAACUAGCAUCUGCAGGGGGCACAAGUGAGGGGUCAGCAUGAGCCUGGUCACCCUGGAGGGCUGCAUGCCAUGGGUAGGCAUGUCUGCACGCCAUGGGUAGGCAUGUCUGCACGCCAUGGGUAGGCAUGUCUGCACAGAGGCCAGGGUGCAGGUGGAGACAGGAGUGGUUUUUAUAAAUGGAAAAGCUGCAUCCUCCCCACAGAAAAAGGGAAGCCAGACCAAAAUGGAGCAACUGGGCCACAGCAAGCCCUGGCUAGCAGGGAGCUAGCGCAGGACUCAAACAUAAGGCAAGUUGGAGAAACUGCCAGUCUGGAGGAACUUAAGGAGCCGUGACAAUGGCAAUGAAUGUCCUGAGGUCUCUGGAUGCCAUCCUGGAACAGAUAAAGGGGCUUGGGUGAAAACAAAGGAACACCACCUGUGUGGCAUGUCUGUUACAAAGAAUGAGGCGGUUCUGUUAACGUUAUUAACGAAAGUCCAGUCUUGAUUCUGAUUUCCGUAGUUUUGGGGGGUUUUGUUUGGUUUUGUUUUUUGUCAUGGCUCCUUAAGGUCCUCUAGACUGGCAGUUUCUGAGACUUGGAAUCGGGAGUUCCCGCUGUGGCUCAGCAUAUGAAGAAUCCGACGUUGUCUCCUCAAGGAUUCCUGGCCUCGCUCGGUGGGUUAAGGAUCCAGUGUUGCCUCAAGCUGCAGUGCAGAUUACAGAUGCGGCUCAGAUCCAGUGUUGCUGGGCUGUGACUGUGGCUGUGGCUGUGGCUGUGGCCUCAGCUACAGCUCCGAUUCCACCCCUAGCCCAGGAACCUCUAUGUGCUGCAGGUGCAGCUUUAAAAAAAGAAAAAAAAACUGCUCUUUGACACCGUCCCAGGCAAUUCCCCAGGCAAGUUAAAAGGCAAGAACAGCCGCUCUGGAGUUCUGACUUCUAAACCUGCUCUCCUGAGAAACGCAGUGUAGACAACAUCCGCUUUCAAGACACACUUCCAUGGGCAUCUCAGAGCCCAAGCUUUGGGAGGCAGUAAAGCACUGGGCCACGCUGAGAGCUCCCCGAGUGCGAGCUGGUGUCAGGGACAGCCUGCCGGGGAGGGCCGAGGGGCUGCCACUCCAGCCUUUCCUCUCCAAGAGUACAAGCGGGAGGAGAACUAGAGGCCCAGCCUCAAAACUGCCCUAACACGUAUUUCAAAACAUUGCCAAAUGCCGGCACCUUAGCUGUGAUUAGCAGAAGUCCUAUCUUAUCUCUGUUCCUGCAGCUCUCAGCUACGGAACUGAUCAGAAGCCCUCUGGGCUCCUUGUUAUUAAAAGUGGCAGGGCCACACCUCAGACCUCCUGCACGGGGUCCCUGGCGAGGGGCCAGCCUUCAGUGAUCUGGGGAAGUCCCCCAAAUGGUUUCACGGGGACCUCCGGGGCCCAGAACCUGCAGAAGAGCCCAGGGUGCUCAGCCCCGCCCUCUCUUCACCAUCUUGCUUGUCACCAGAGGAGGCGCCCUUCCCUCCUGGCCCUGAAGGAGGGGGACAGGGCUGUGGCUCUCCCCUGCGUGGGGUGGCACGCUCUUUUGGGGGUGAGGUGGGGGUGGAUUGUGAGCACUCCAAACCCUUGGGAUGCUUAGAGUCUGCAAAGGGUCCAAAUAUAGAAACGUUGACCCCAUUCCUGAAACAGUAACUGCAAACUGCCCCUUCUUGGGGACAGAUGUGUUUCAGAAGGUGCCUUGGGCCCGCUUGCCCAGGCCUGGAGCUGGUUUGAAAUAUGUCCCCCCAGAAAAAAAUAUGUUCAAGUCGUAGCCCCCAGUGUUCAGAAUGUGACCUUCUUUGGAAAUAGGGUCACUGCAGAUGUGGUUAGUUAAGACCAAGUCAAUUCGGAGGGUCCUAAUCUAACAUGACUAGUGUCUUCAUUAAAAGGGGCCGUUUGGAGACAGAGAGGCACAUGUGAGGAUGAAACAGAGCUAGAAGUGAUGCUUCUGCAAGCCCAGGCACAUCAAAGACACCUGCAAAUCGGAGUUCCCAUAGUGGCUCAGUGAUUAACGAACACAACUAGGAACCAUGAGGUUGAGGGUUCGAGCCCUGGCCUCGCUUAGUGGGUUAGGGAUCCAUCCGGCGUGGCUGUGAGCUGUGGUGUAGGUCGCAGAUGCAGCUCGGAUCCCACAGUCAGCAGCGGUAGCUCCGAUUGGACCCCUAGCCUGGGAAUCUCCAUAUGCCAGAGGUGCGGCCCUAAAAAAAAAGGCAAAAGACAAAAAAAAAAAAAAAAAAAAAA
rnacentral:lncRNA from 9 species